rnacentral:lncRNA from 1 species
CGACGCAUGGGCGAUGGGCGGGGCCUCCGCGGCGCCCCGCCCCGCCCCAGCCACCGCGGGUUACUCCGGGUCGAAACCCGAGCAACCCCUGUCGCGACCCCCACUGGCUGCAGAGGGACAGCAGCGGUGCGGGAGGAGGCCAGGGUCCAGCGGGGUCGGGGACCCGCCCGGGAGAGGCCUCGGCCGAGGGAGUGUUAGAGCCGCUGUUCCCUGUCUCAGUCCGUUGGUCCUGGUGCAGCAAUAUCCAUCCCGUGAGCCCGCUUGGAACCUGUGCCCGACGCUUCCCAGUUCCUUCUUGCAGACUCUUAAACUGCACGGUCUGUUGUGGCAUCAAGAAGGCUGCUCGAGAUGAGGUCAAGAGAGUAGCUGCUAAUGAUGAACUGAACUUUUGGAAGGAUUGUCCAUUACAACUGCCUGAUAUUUCAACUACAGAAACCCACUCCUCCAGAAUGACACCAUCAGCCACUUUAAGAACAUUGCUCUUGGAGAAUGUCCUCAAGUGUUCAGUAUUGUCUAGCUGUUUCUGAAGUUUUUAUCCACCCAGAAGCUAGGAUCAAUCCUAGGCAGCAGGACGAAGGGCAGCGGUGGGAAGCAGUGGAGGAUGGGAAGCAUCGCACACGGAGAC